AGAACUUUGUGGGAACCCAUGGGUAACGUACAUUUCGCUGGAGACGCCUUAUCAUUUGCCGCUGGUUGGAUUCAAGGCGCCUUGGAGAGUGGGCUGAAAGCCGCCUAUCAAGUCUAUGCCCGUGACAAGAAGAGAACAAUCGGAGAAGAGAAAUAAUUGAUAGAAAUCAAUAAUUUCAACCCUGCACGAUGUGUCUACUUUUGGGGUCGUCAAAUUUUGACAUCCGUGGAAUUGAAAAACUAAAUAAAUAAAUUUGGCACGAUUACGUUUUAGAAUUUGCACUUGUCUAUAAAUUUUCUACUUUGAUUCAAUUCCUGAUUAAAUAUUGUUAUUAUUUUGCUUUUGCAUUU